rnacentral:tRNA from 1 species
GCCCUUAUCGUCUAGCGGCCUAGGACGUUAGCUUCUCAGGCUAGAAACACGGGUUCGAAUCCCGUUAAGGGCACCA